UNGCACUGUUAGACUUCAAAGCCUCUUAACC
rnacentral:piRNA from 1 species